rnacentral:ncRNA from 2 species
CUCUUAUCCAGAGAGGCGGAGGGACCGGCCCUGUGAUGCCUCGGCAACCAAUCAGUAAGCAGUAACCAGUAAUCAGUAAUCAGUAUAGACCACUGAAUACUGAACACUGAUAACUGAAUCAGGUGCCAAUUCCGGCAGAGAUAGACUCUGGGAGAUGAGAG